rnacentral:lncRNA from 1 species
ACUAGUAUUUAUUUUUUUAAAAAUGAAUAUGAAACAGAAUGCAAUAUGCAUGGAAAUAUUUUAAAUGUCAUUGCAUUAUAGUUGUCAUACGACCAUAUGUUUAGUUCAGCGAGUGCCAAAAAUGGGUUGCAAACACCACUGAAAAUGUUACCAAAAAUAGGAAUUUUAAGAAACUUUUUAAACAUUUGUUGUUAUUAUAAAUGUUGAAAACUGCUUAAUAGUUUAUGGAAAACAGAAUCUUAAUUUUUAAGGAUUUUUUUUUUUCAGAAGUGAGGAUGUGCUGACAGGUUUCUGCCCUGCUGUUCAAGCAAAACAGGAAAUUAACAGUGCCUCCAAAAUUAGAUGCAGUAUAGUUGUAAAUAUCUGAGAACUGAAGCCGGUUUCUGCUCUGAUGUGAUUCAGGAAAAUUUUUUGCUUUUGUUUUUUGGUAAGUUUUACCUUAUCCUCUACACUGAUACACAUGCCUGCUAAUUUUCUGUUUGACAAUCCAUUAAAUGUUAUGUGAUACACAUGCACACUUCCUCAGUAAAUAUACAUAAGGGUUUUCACUCAUGUACGAACGCACAGGUGCUUCAUACGCACUAGUUGGGGAUUUCCCUGCUCUGAAUGUAAGUUGACUCUUUAUCUUUAACCAUAUGCAACAGAAAUAUAACGAUGAAGUUAAAAAUGGCCAUUUUCAUCAACUACAUAAGGGACAUCUUUCAGGGGUUAUUUUACAAUAAUGACCAUAUGACUGCAUAAAUCUGACAUUAUCCAACUUAUAUGGCUAUUUAUAUUUAUAUAAUAUAGUUUAACCUAUAUUUGUGGGAAGAAAAAACUUUAAAAAUUGUAAUCAAAUUAAUUGACGUUAUCAUUAAUUAAUUACAUUAAUUAGAAUUAAUGACAUAAAUGCAUAUAUAAUCAUCUAAAUAAAGAUCAUUCAAAACCUUAAUUGUUGCAUAAAACAAACACAAACUAAACAAAAUGCAAACAAAAUGGUUUAAAAGUCAAUAUGUUGUUUGUUUUCCAUAGUUUUCCAUAUUAUUUUUCAUAUUGGAUAUCAUAAGUCACAGAUUGGAGUCCACA